UAGAAUAGUUUAUCUUCUAAUGAGAAGCCUUUAGCUGUAGGAAUGAAAUUAUCAACAUGCAAGAAAAGACAUUUUCUCAUAUACUGACUUGAUCCAAAAUGCAAAGCUAAGCACCCAGGUUUCUUAUUAAAAAAUUGAAUAUGUGCAAUACUUUUUACUGCUUCGUGUUAGUUUUACAUUAAUCUAGAAGGAAAAUUUCCAAUGGGAAUUGCAGCUUGCAAAUGCAAUGGGAUUUGCAGCUUGCAAAUGCUAUUCUCAGCUAUGCUGUUAAUAUUUUUAAAACAUGCCAGGAGGGAUCUUUUUGACUGCGGAUCCUUAAUGACUGAAAAGGAAUGUGUAGCCUCUUACUGAACAUCCCUGGGUAAAGUAAGACCUCUCAGGAAUGCUGGCAUGAGACAAGGAGAAAUGCCAGAACAUUAAUUCUCUGGUGCAAGCUUCUCACUGGGACACUUUUGCUAAGAUGUGGCCGAACACUGGACCCUGGAGAUGCAUAUGUCAGAGAAACAUGAGCAGCAGGUUCUGAAUGAGGAGGUGACAUUCAGGAUGCCCUUUCCAUCGCAUGCCAGAGUAGCUGAAAAUCUUCAGUUACCAAACAGGUGAGUGAGGUGAACAGGCUCUGAUGGCAAUGGAAGGAGAAGGAAAAGGCAAAAGGAGCUGGACAAUGGCAUGGAAAGAGAAGAAAUGAGAACAGCAAUAUGAAAUAAAAUUAGCUUGAUUUAUUGGCUUGUUUCUCUGUUGACUGCACUUGCAAGAGAAGCAGAGAGAGGCUACAUUAUGGAAAUAAAUUUGCUUAGAUUUGCA